GUUCUGACAAAGCCAUAACACCGGAGGAGAUCCUCAAGACAAAACUUCUGCACCUGUAAGACAAAGUGGAGCAUCAAGUGAUGCGGACGGGAGCUGCGGGUAGUGAGGACGUGCAUGCGCAAAAACAUACACACCUUCCCAAAAGUUAUUAUUCAUGCCACAGAAGGAGAAAAGGAAAAAAAAAAGAGAAGAUGCAUCUCUGGCUUGCGUCUCGCCAGUCAGGCUUCGCCGAGUGAGCCGCAGCUCCUCCUGCGGAUCUCGAUGAGACGGACGACUCUGUGACCGCGCCUGCCUUUUCUUCAACAAACUGCUCUUCUACACCAACUUUCCUCAGCUCGUUCUUGUAUACCUGCUCCGCUUGCGCCUUGGCUUGUCUCUGAUCAAAUGAAAAUGACAACACAG